UCAAACCAAAAUAAGGUCAUAAGGUGUUCUUCCUAGGGACCUAAUAUGCUGUGGCUAUAAACAUCAGCAACCCUGGGGGUGUAUUCAACCUCUUGCUUAAAUGGGUUUCCCUAAGCAAACUUGAAGACAAUU
rfam:Mesocricetus auratus contig208959, whole genome shotgun sequence.